rnacentral:rRNA from 1 species
AAAGGAAUUGACGGGGGCCCGCACAAGCGGAGGAGCAUGUGGUUUAAUUCGAUGAUACGCGAGGAACCUUACCUAGACUCAAAUGUUGAGUGACCGUUUCAGAAAUGGAACUUCUCUUCGGAGCACUUAGCAAGGUGCUGCAUGGUUGUCGUCAGCUCGUGCCGUGAGGUGUCAGGUUAAGUCCUAUAACGAGCGCAACCCCUGCACAUAGUUGCCAUCAUUCAGUUGGGGACUCUAUGUGGACUGCCGGCGCAAGCCGCGAGGAAGGUGGGGAUGACGUCAAAUCAGCACGGCCCUUACGUCUAGGGCGACACACGUGCUACAAUGGUCGGUACAGAGGGCAGCUACCCAGCGAUGGGGUGCGAAUCUCGAAAGCCGAUCUCAGUUCGGAUCGGAGUCUGCAACUCGACUCCGUGAAGUUGGAUUCGCUAGUAAUCGCGUAUCAGCCAUGACGCGGUGAAUACGUUCCCGGGCCUUGUACACACCGCCCGU